UACGGGGGGGGGCAAGUGUUCUUCGGAAUGACUGGGCGUAAAGGGCACGUAGGCGGUGAAUCGGGUUGAAAGUGAAAGUCGCCAAAAAAGUGGCGGAAUGCUCUCGAAACCAAUUCACUUGAGUGAGACAGAGGAGAGUGGAAUUUCGUGUGUAGGGGUGAAAUCCGUAAAUAUACGAAGGAACGCCAAAAGCGAAGGCAGCUCUCUGGGUCCCUACCCGACGCUGGGGUGCGAAAGCAUGGGGAGCGAACAGG
rnacentral:rRNA from 1 species